UAAAGCUACUAAGGGCUUGUGGUGGAUGCCUUGGCAUUAAGAAGUGAUGAAGGACGUGAUAAGCUGCGAUAAGCUCCGGGGAGAGGCACAUACUUUCUGAUCCGGAGAUUUCCGAAUGGGGAAACCCACCUGUUUAACAGGUAUCAGGCGCUGAAUUCAUAGGCGUUUGAGGCGUACGUUGGGAACUGAAACAUCUAAGUACCAACAGGAAAAGAAAUCAACCGAGAUUCCGCUAGUAGUGGCGAGCGAACGCGGAUCAGCCUAAAAUCUCUAUAUGUUAAAGAUGCUAGUCGUUGUAUAGGGAUGGUCGUGGGACUUUCGGGAGUCGCUAGUAAGACUCCAAGAAGUUACAAAGUUUAUGUCUAGUAGAAUCCAUUGGAAAGUGGAGCCAAAGAGCGUGAUAGCCGCGUAAACGAAAGAUGUAAGCCUUCUGAAAGUAUCCCGAGUACCACCGGACACGUGUUAUCCGUUGGGAAUCUGGAGGGACCACCCUCUAAGGCUAAAUAUUUCUUAAUGACCGAUAGUGAACUAGUACCGUGAGGGAAAGGUGAAAAGAACCCCGGGAGGGGAGUGAAAUAGAACCUGAAACCGCAAGCUUACAAGCAGUGGGAGCACUAUUUUAAUGUGUGACCGCGUACCUUUUGCAUAAUGAGUCAGCGAGUUAUAGUUGCAGGCUAGAUUAAGCCGUUAGGUGUAGUCGUAGCGAAAGCGAGUCUGAAUGGGGCGAUUCAGUCUGCAGUUAUAGACCCGAAACCCGGUGAUCUAUCCAUGACCAGGGGGAAGCGGAAGUAACAUUUCGUGGACGCCCGAACCAGUGUAGGUUGAAAACUGCUUGGAUGAGUUGUGGAUAGGGGUGAAAGGCCAAUCAAACUGGGUGAUAGCUGGUUCUUCUCGAAAUAUAUUUAGGUAUAGCCUCGGAUAAAUUCUAUUACGGAGGUAGAGCACUGAUUGGGCUAGGGGUCUUUACCGGAUUACCAAACCCAGACAAACUCCGAAUGCCGUUAAUAGUUACUCCGGGAGGCAGUCAUGGGGUGAUAAGGUCCUAUGACGAAAGGGAAAGAGCCCAGACCGCCAGCUAAGGUCCCUAAAUAUGUGCUAAGUGGAAAACGUUGUGGAGCUACUUUGACAACCAGGAGGUUGGCUUAGAAGCAGCAAUCCUUUAAAGAAAGCGUAAUAGCUCACUGGUCUAGUGGCUCUGCGCGGAAGAUGUAACGGGGCUUAAGCACAUUACCGAAGCUGCGGGUUCACAGUCCUUGGACUGUGAGCGGUAGAGAAGCGUUCUAGCAUAGGUUGAAGGUCGAUCGUAAGGACGGCUGGACGAACUAGAAGUGAUCAUGCUGACAUAAGUAGCGAUUAGGGAGGUAAAAAACCUCCCCGCCGCAAACUCAAGGGUUCCUGGGCAACGCUAAUCGACCCAGGGUUAGUCGGGACCUAAGACGAGGCCAAUUGGCGUAGUCGAUGGUAAAACGGUUAAUAUUCCGUUACCUAUUUUAACUUAGUAUAGGAGGGACGGAUUAGGAUAAGGCAGCCUCCUGUUGGUUGGAGGUGUAAGCGUGCAAGUGGUAGUGUUGGCAAAUCCGCACUACGUACACCUAGGCGUGAAUGCGUGAGCAAUUUUUGCUCUGAAGUGUCUGACUCCAUGAUCCCAAGAAAAGCUUCGAUACAUCUGUUAAAAUAGCCCGUACCGUAAACCGACUCAGGUGAGUGGGAUGAGUAUUCUCAGGCGUUUGGGUUAAACCUGGUUAAGGAACUCGGCAACUUAACACCGUAACUUCGGGAUAAGGUGUGCCCCUGAUGGUGAGCAACGCGUUGAGCCGUUGGGGGUCGCAGAGAAAUGGGAGUAGCGACUGUUUAUCAAAAACACAGGACAGUGCAAAGUCACAAGACGAAGUAUACUGUCUGACGCCUGCCCGGUGCUGGAAGGUUAAGAGGAUCUGUUAGCUUUUGCGAAGCGGAGAAUUGAAGCCCCAGUAAACGGCGGCCGUAACUAUAACGGUCCUAAGGUAGCGAAAUUCCUUGUCGGGUAAGUUCCGACCUGCACGAAUGGCGUAACGACUUCUCCGGUGUCUCAACCAGGUGCCCAGCGAACUUGAACUCUCGGUGAAAAUGCCGAGUACCCGCGGAAAGACGGAAAGACCCCGUGAACCUUUACUCUAGCUUGGCAGUGACAUUAGAAACAUCAUGUGUAGGAUAGGUGGGAGACUUUGAAACCAGCACGCCAGUGUUGGUGGAGUCAUCCUUGAAAUACCACCCUUGAUGUUUUUGAUGUCUAACCUGCGCCCGUUAUCCGGGCGAGGGACACUGUCUGGUGGGGAGUUUGACUGGGGCGGUCGCCUCCUAAAAAGUAACGGAGGCGUACGAAGGUUCCCUCAGCCUGAUUGGAAACCAGGCGUCGAGUGCAUUGGCAUAAGGGAGCUUGACUGCGAGACCUACAAGUCGAG
rnacentral:rRNA from 1 species